CUGAGGGGCCUUCAGGAGAAGGUCCUCCUCCUUCAGCUGGAGGAGCAUGGCAGCGAGCAGAGGAGUGAGCCUCUUGGUCCUGCUGCUGUGCUGCUGGCAGGGAGCUGAGCUCCAGCCAUCGAGAAUGUUUGCAGCUUCAAGUACUGAAUUGCCAUCAAGUUUAAGAAAUCUGGAUGAUGAUAUGGCUACAGUAUUUGAUGAGAUCCUAGUCCAAGAGAUGCUGGAUCAGGAGAAAUCA